rnacentral:rRNA from 1 species
UACGAAGGGUGCAAGCGUUAAUCGGAAUUACUGGGCGUAAAGCGUGCGCAGGCGGUCAUGCAAGACAGAUGUGAAAUCCCCGGGCUCAACCUGGGAACUGCAUUUGUGACUGCAUGGCUGGAGUGCGGCAGAGGGGGAUGGAAUUCCGCGUGUAGCAGUGAAAUGCGUAGAUAUGCGGAGGAACACCGAUGGCGAAGGCAAUCCCCUGGGCCUGCACUGACGCUCAUGCACGAAAGCGUGGGGAGCAAACAGG